rnacentral:lncRNA from 1 species
UUUCUUCAAGCCUCAAUUAAAGCAAAACCCUCAUACCCCUAUACUUUCUCCUCAUUUGGCCGAUUCUCACCCCUCUUUAGCACCAAGCCUCAAGAGACCCUAGCCGCCAUUUGACCACCCCAAACGGUGAUUGACGGAGGGUGAUUUGUUCGCUCGUUAACCCCGCUUGGAUCCCUACCUCAAGGACCGCCGAUUUUAGCCCCAAAAUCCCCUCUACAACUCCAAUCUCGAUAGAGGAACUAGGGACUUCGAUGGCGCGUUCGCAAAGGUAAGCCCUUCGCCUUUUUUAUUCGUGCCUUCAAAUAAAAAUAAUAAAAAAUAAUAAUAAGAACUAAAGAAUAAAGCCAAAGAGAAAGAAAAAAAUAAAAUAAAAUGCCCAGAGAUUUAAAUCGGAAAAUCACCCUUCGAUUUUUGAUUGCCUUUUUUGUAUUUCAAUAUUCGUAGUAUGCCCGUGUCUCUAUGAUUACAAUGAUACCUAGGGCUUUUAUAUAGCCGAAAAUAAAAGGAAAAAAAAUACAAAGAAUUCUUUUGCUCUUGUUUUUUUCUCUUUGCUGCUGUUUUGCUGUGCUAUUUUUGUCUUCAUGCAGGUACGAAAGGCGACAUGGAGAUGAGGACGAGGGCUGCCGCGAGGCUGUUGUGGCGCAAAAGGGUGACCUAGGGUUCCUGUUAGUGUUUUAAUUUUGGGCCAUUUGGGCCUUGUAUUUCUGGGCUAGUACUUGGGUUGUAAUUGGGUUAAUUUAGGCCUUUUUGAUGUGUAAAUGGACUUAGACUGGACUAUUUGGUUUUAUUUAUUUGUUUUUUUAAUUUUGGUUUUUGGUUGUUGGGCCCGGGCAGAUUUGGCCUAUUACAGUUACAAUUAGGUCCAACUAAACCUUACUAUAGUUUUUGAUUUUAUUAAACAUUUUGAAUGUUUCCGUUGAUGAAUCUAUAUGAUUUUAGUUAUUAAAUGAUGAGUUUGAGAUGUUGGUUGAUAUUUAAAAGUAUUUUGUUAAGUUAUUUUGAUGAAUUUUUCAAUUAGGUACUAAUUUGUUAAAUUAAUAAAAGUACAAGGAUUUAAUGUGAAAUUGUUGCAUAAAUGGGAUUUUUU